AACGAACGCUGGCAGCAGGCUUAACACAUGCAAGUCGAGCGCCCCGCAAGGGGAGCGGCAGACGGGUGAGUAACGCGUGGGAAUCUACCCAUCUCUACGGAAUAACGCAUGGAAACGUGUGCUAAUACCGUAUACGUCCUUCGGGAGAAAGAUUUAUCGGAGAUGGAUGAGCCCGCGUUGGAUUAGCUAGUUGGUGGGGUAAAGGCCUACCAAGGCGACGAUCCAUAGCUGGUCUGAGAGGAUGAUCAGCCACACUGGGACUGAGACACGGCCCAGACUCCUACGGGAGGCAGCAGUGGGGAAUAUUGGAAAAUGGGCGCAAGCCUGAUCCAGCCAUGCCGCGUGAGUGAUGAAGGCCCUAGGGUUGUAAAGCUCUUUCACCGGUGAAGAUAAUGACGGUAACCGGAGAAGAAGCCCCGGCUAACUUCGUGCCAGCAGCCGCCGUAAAAC
rnacentral:rRNA from 1 species